rnacentral:rRNA from 1 species
AUACGGAGGAUGCAAGCGUUAUCCGGAUUUAUUGGGUUUAAAGGGUGCGUAGGCUGACGUGUAAGUCAGAGGUGAAAUGUCCGGGCUCAACCUGGGAACUGCCUUUGAUACUGCAUGUCUGGAGUUCGGAUGCCGUGGGAGGAAUGGGCAGUGUAGCGGUGAAAUGCAUAGAUAUUGCCCAGAACACCGAUUGCGAAGGCAUCUCACGAAUCCGACACUGACGCUGAGGCACGAAAGCGUGGGGAUCAAACAGGAUUAGAUACCCUGGUAGUCCACGCAGUAAACGAUGAUAACUAACCGUCGGCGAUAGACAGUCGGUGGCCAAGCGAAAGCGAUAAGUUAUCCACCUGGGGAGUACGUUCGCAAGAAUGAAACUCAAAUGAAUUGACGGGG